rnacentral:rRNA from 1 species
AUUGAACGCUGGCGGCAUGCCUAACACAUGCAAGUCGAACGGCAGCACAGUAAAGAUUUCGGUCUUUAUGGGUGGCGAGUGGCGGACGGGUGAGUAAUGCGUAGGAAUCUGUCCUGGAGAGUGGGAUAACCCGAGGAAACUCGGGCUAAUACUGCAUGAUAUCGAGAGAUCAAAGGCAGGGGACCCUUCGGGGCCUUGCGCUCUAGGAUGAGCGUACGUCGGAUUAGGGAGUUGGUGGGGUAAAGGCCUACCAAGGCGACGAUCCGUAGCUGGUCUGAGAGGAUGACCAGCCACACUGGGACUGAGACACGGCCCAGACUCCUACGGGAGGCAGCAGUGGGGAAUCUUGGACAAUGGGGGAAACCCUGAUCCAGCGAUGCCGCGUGUGUGAAGAAGGCCUUCGGGUUGUAAAGCACUUUAGUUGGGGAAGAAAAGUAAUGAGUGAAUAACUGAUUGCUCUGACGGUACCCAAAGAAUAAGCACCGGCUAACUCUGUGCCAGCCGCCGCCGUAA